CCCAGGUAUAUUAUAGGCCAGUUGGUCUCACCUCUGUUCUUGGGAAGACUCUGGAAAAAAUCAUUAAGGAUCACAUUUGUGGGAGCCCA